rnacentral:rRNA from 1 species
UACGUAGGGUGCAAGCGUUGUCCGGAAUUAUUGGGCGUAAAGAGCUCGUAGGCGGUUUGUCGCGUCUGCUGUGAAAACUCGGGGCUUAACUCCGGGCCUGCAGUGGGUACGGGCAGACUAGAGUGCGGUAGGGGAGACUGGAAUUCCGGGUGGAGUGGUGAAAUGCGUAGAGAUCCGGAGGAACACCGAAGGCGAAGGCAGUGUCCUGGCGAGUAUACCUGACGCUGAGGUGCGAAAGCCAGGGGAGCGAACGGG